AUGAAGAAAAAAUCUGUCUCUAAAACUUGGAGAGACUUCUCUCCUCCAUCGCAGACAGCACUACCGUGGCUUUACUCUCGUCGUGUAUAAGCCACGGUAGUUUCGUCAUCGUCGUGACAACUCCUUCUCCUCUUCAUCCUUGUAAAUUAGUACUUUCAUAUAGGUUCAGCCUGUGUAAUGUGGAUUUUCCAUAGAGUUCAACAGUAGAGGGUAUCUGCUGCGUAGUUUCGUCAUCGUCGUGACAACUCCUUCUCCUCUUCAUCCUUGUAAAUUAGUACUUUCAUAUAGGUUCAGCCUGUGUAAUGUGGAUUUUUCAUAGAGUUCAACAGUAGAGGGUAUCUGCUGCCUAAUAUUGGCUUGUGUGUGUUGUGAACUUUGGAUUUGAGUUUGACCUUUAAGAGUUGGAGAUAAGUAUCUUAUAACAAGGUGUGGGCGUCAUGAGAUAGGGGACUUUGGGAGACUCAGAAGUUACAUGCACCAAUGGAUCAGCUUCGUCACUGGAUAGCGGCGGUUUCCUGUAAUCCAGGGAUGUAUCAUGAUAGAUAUCCCACCAUUUCUUCACCAGCAUCUUUAUGUCCUCCCUCUGCAUAUUUUCUUCCUUUCCGGGUGGCGCCAGAGCACGGCAAGAACAAGGUUAUAAACGGAGGGAAUGGGCUCGUAAAUGUCCUUGAAAUACAUGUUGAGGAAAUCCUGCUCCGCAAAGGGAGUAGGAGGUGUGAUCUGGAGUUUUCUGAGAAGGUCGUGGUAAGUUUCC